rnacentral:lncRNA from 1 species
GUGGUUAGAUAGCUUCCUGGCACUCCCCAUGUCAAGCAUCAAUAGCAGCCAAAAGUAGCAUAAAUGUAGAUAAACUUGACCUAUUAUAGGAUAAGUCCAGACAAGAAGAUUCUGCAAAAAAAAUAAAAUAAUAAUAAUAAUAAUAAUAAAUAAGAAGAAGAAGAAGAAGAAGAAGAAGAAGAAGCACGGGCAAGUAAUACUACUAGUCUAUAUACAUUUAAGAAAAUAAUAAACUUAUGGAACUAACGUACCUUCGAAUAAAAGAAAUCUUGGCACAUUCUGGUAAUGGUGGUUUUAUGAGCCAUUGUGGGUGGAGUUUUGUCAUUGAAACCAUUUAUUUUGGGGUUCCACUAAUAGCCAUGCCUUAGAAAUUUGAAUAGCCAGUAAAUGCUAGAAUGGUGGUCGAGGCUGGUGCAGUUACGGUUUUGAUAGAGUGAGAUCUCCUCUUCAAUACUGACCACUGCAUGCUGAGAAUUGCAUCGUUCACACACAAGGGUCCUUGAAUGACAUCUAGAUAGCGCAUUUACAUAAGGAACAUUGCAAUCAAAAGAUAAACAGAGGCUAGAGCAUCAGACCUUCAAUGGACCGUAGGCUUUUUCCUCCCCACAAAAAUCACAAAAUUGACAUGUUUUCUUUAACCACUAUGUUCUGACCUCUGCAAGCAUAGCUAAUCACAGAAAUUAAUACUGGCAUAUUAUUUUCGUAGCACCUAAAUACAUCAACUUUAUUGCUUAGCAUUACAUAAUCAAAUUUUUAUAAUCAUGCGUAUAUUUGUUACUUGAGAGAAGUGGAAUAAAAAACCUAUUAUCUUUGUACACAAGUUUUAUGUAAGCAGAACAAUAUCAUAUGCAUAUAGAUAAUCAAACUUCGUAGUUGUAGUUCAUGGUAUUUAAAUAGAGUGGCAUUACAUAAAUAAACCAAGCCCGGUGUUCAAAUCAGCUAAAUUAUCCCAACAACCCAAAAUGAUAUCCAAGGCCACAUAGCCGCAAUUGUGGCCAAGAUAAUCUAAUUGACCACAGAUUAACAUUAAAUGCAAAUGAAAAGUUAUCGAAAGAGUGUGCUCAAAUUGGGCCCUGCAUUUGCCAUCUGCAGUUGCAGCAGUCCAUC